rnacentral:lncRNA from 1 species
CAUUCUGUUAUUCAUGGCCGUCAAGUCUUAACCAUCACAUCACCAGACCGUCAUGAACAACCAAAAUGAUGAGAUCACGAACGCAGACGCAAAGUUAGGAGUACUAAUCGCUGAAACCCCACUUGUUGAGUUGGCUUUUGCAGCAGAAGGUGGCUUAGCGGUAGCAGCAGAAGGUGGCUUAGCAGUAGCGGCAGUAGCAUCAGCAACAACGGGCUUAGUAGUAGAGGAAGGUGGGGAUGGUGGCUCGUCAAAUUCAUAAUCAUCAUCAUUAGGAGGUUGUGGAGGAAGUGGUUUAGAUGAUGAACCAACAUCAAAAGAACCAUCAGGAUUCAUGAAACGUAUGGAACUAUCAAUAUGAAGCACCG